AGAGUUGUAGCUCAGUGACAGAGCAACUGCUUUGUAUGCAGGCAGUCCUGGGUUCAAUCGAUGGCAUCUUCU